UGGAGAGUGACCUGUGCUUGCACACAGGCUUUUUGGUGGCGGCAGCAGCAGCCUUAGCGUCUCAUGCCCGUGUCUGGGGUCCGCGCUGAGAGCCGCGGCUCGCGCCCGUCUCUGGAGCUCGUUUAGGCGGCGCUCUGAAUCCCCUCUCCUCGCGCACCAGGAAACAAAGAGGCAAGAAAAAGUCUCUUGCCUCUUCGGCAGGUCCAGACUUUUCCCCGGACUCCCUCCCGGCUAGCUGCGGCGCACUAGCCCCCUUCAGGCUGUGUUCAUGCCGCCAACCCCAGUCCUCUCCCUGGGAUCCGACCGAAGCCCGAGCCUCAGCUCCCAGCCCCCGCCCGCCCCGGCGGCUGAGCAGACAAGCCUCUCGGGCUGAUGCCUGGUGCUGUGGAAGAUGCUGGCAUUGCAUAUUGAAGAAAACCAAACACCAUUGGUACCGCAAGAAGCUUACAACAGGUGGAAACUAAGAAGAAUCUGAAAAGUUGAGUCAACACAAUUUCCCCAGAGGCAAAGUGGAAGAGGAAAAGAGUCCCACGGCCAUGUGUAAUAACAGAGAGAAGACCAACUUGCUCAGCAGAUCAGUUGACCUCUGGUGACCCAGCCUUCUAGGAUUAUUCCCUAUCUCAAGUUCCGGAAUCGGUUAGUCAUAUGGCGUCUAGACACAUGGAGGUUGUUUAAGAAAGACCUUUGAUAAUGACAUAAUGCUGAGCCAACUAAAUACCCCCUGCUCCCUCUAAAAGCUGGAAGAAUGGCUACAUUUGGCAAUUUCUUUUUUUUUUCAAUUUUUAAUUUUUAAAAUUUGUUUCAAAGUUAAACCCAAGACACAUUGACUUCAUAGGAAGUCCACUGAGAAAUGUUUUUCUAGGCUGAACACCUGUUUCCCCUCAGUCUCCCUCAACAGAGCAUGUACAUGUUAAUUACUUUCAUUUUCCAAUCACUGCUGUCCCACCACUAUACCAAGAUCACCUAAACUGUGUGUGUUGUAUUCUGAAUGUUCUUAGU